GUAGGGGGGCAAGCGUUGUCCGGAAUUAUUGGGCGUAAAGCGCGCGCAGGCGGUCUCUUAAGUCCGAUGUGAAAGCCCACGGCUCAACCGUGGAGGGUCAUUGGAAACUGGGGGACUUGAGUGUAGGAGAGGAAAGUGGAAUUCCACGUGUAGCGGUGAAAUGCGUAGAUAUGUGGAGGAACACCAGUGGCGAAGGCGACUUUCUGGCCUACAACUGACGCUGAGGUGCGAAAGCGUGGGGAGCAAACAGGGAUUAGAUACCCUGGUAGUCCACGCCGUAAACGAUGAGUGCUAGGUGUUAGGGGUUUCGAUGCCCUUAGUGCCGAAGUUAACACAUUAAGCACUCCGCCUGGGGGAGUACGACCGCAAGGUUG
rnacentral:rRNA from 1 species